CUAAAUGUUUAGAGAUUCUCUCUUUGUGCU
rnacentral:piRNA from 1 species